rnacentral:rRNA from 1 species
GCUUACGGCCAUACCAGCCUGGGUACCCCGUUCGUCUGAUCUCGGAAGCUAAGCAGGGUCGUGCCUGGUUAGUACUUGGAUGGGAGACCGCCUGGGAAUACCAGGUGCUGUAAGCA